rnacentral:lncRNA from 10 species
GUUUUACCCCAGUCUAUUCCCGCAGCUGGUUAAUGUUCAACCCCCGGGCCUCGAGAGGCAGCUCCAAGGAGGCAGGCAGGCAUGACCCAUUCAAGAUAAACAAGACACCGCCUCAUCAGAUAAGAACGUCUCCUUCGAUGUCACGGAUUUCAAGAGGUAGCUGGAGAAACUGACGUCAGGAGUGUCCUGUGAAUGAACAUCGCCCGAGGCCUAGCACCCACAGAAGAAGGGUUCUAUUUUACUCUACUUUGCUUGAUAUUAUUUAUUUUCUAACAAAGUGAUCCGUAGUCUGCAACCUUAGGCUCUGACAGGCAAAGCCCAUUUCUUAGCUCUGGGGAUGGCUUGCAGGGUCUCCACCUCUGUCCACUUUGGUGUCCUCUUUCUCCCUUCGGCUCCCCACCUCCAUCCCCCGAGCCCACACACAGCGGGGUGAAGCUGUCGGGGAGACUCGUGGGCAACCAAAUGCAGGCACCCUCUGAAGAGACGCCGAGAAGGCCCUGCAUUCGAUCCGGGAGGACAUAGAAAGAUGCCAUGAAGUUCUAUUGGGUGCAGCAAGCCGUUCCCCACGCACACUCCCCGUGAUACCUGCCCAGAGAAGCAGAAGCAGUUUCGAGGGCUGUUGACACAGGCAGAGCGGGGAAACGCGCCCAAGAAUUGGGCUGCCACUGAGCGACGAGGAUAAAAGUUCCUGCCCAGGACUGUGUGCGAGGGGGUCCCGCACUGCUGCAAACUCUCAGCGGAGGCAGAGAGGCUUUGCUGUUUCUGGAGAGAGGAAGCAUUGGCAGAGGCAGUCUCCGGGCUGUGAGGAAUCCACCCUCAUGCCUUAGUGUGGGUACGUCAGGUCCCAGCAUCAGCGGGCCAUUUCCUCAGUUGCAUGAAUGGAGGAAAAACCAAACCAAACCAAACCAAACCAAACCAAACCAAACCAAACCAAACCUUGGCUGUGGACAAAGAAAACAGGAGAGGGAGAGGAUGGAGGAGAAAAAGAGCACGAGGGAGGGCAAACACCUUAAACAUUUUUUGCCGUAAGACUAGAAGAACUAGGUCUGGAAAGAUCCAUCAAAGUCCCAGGGUGCAGACACACACCCUGCCCAGGGAGAGCCCAGUGAGUCUGAACUUCUCUUAGUCCUUCUGAAGGAAGGAAAUUUAAAAAGCACCUCUCACUACCACCAAAAAGUAAACACUUUUACCAUGUAGUCAUUACAUGUUUUUGAAUUUUUUUAAUUGUAAGGAAUUUAGAUGGCUCUUAUAGCCAUUCUUCUGCAGAGUAACUUAAGCUUCAAAUAGCUCCUGUUUUCCACAACUACCACUGAACUGUAGAAAUGUAUUGUUACAAAAGGAGUAGAAAUGACUUUUAAAGGUAAUUAAGUAUAAUUAAAUAUAUCUUCAGGGGGUAUUUCAUUUCUUGCAGGAUUCUCUACUCUUCAAAAAAAUCUAAAAUCAACAUUUACAUUUUAAAAAUGCAUAAAAUACUCAGCACAGAAGUGAAUGAAGUUAUGCAUCCCAAACACAGUAAAUUCUGCUUUCUAUCUUUUCAGAUAGACAGUCAACAAUGGGA